rnacentral:rRNA from 1 species
UACGAAGGGUGCAAGCGUUACUCGGAAUUACUGGGCGUAAAGCGUGCGUAGGUGGUUCGUUAAGUCUGAUGUGAAAGCCCUGGGCUCAACCCAGGAACUGCGUCCGAUACUGGAAGGCUUGAAUCCGGGAGAGGGAUGCGGAAUUCCAGGUGUAGCGGUGAAAUGCGUAGAUAUCUGGAGGAACACCGGUGGCGAAGGCGGCAUCCUGGACCGGUAUUGACGCUGAGGCGCGAAAGCCAGGGGAGCAAACGGG